GGCUUGAUGGUGUAAUGGUAACACAUCCCAUUCCAUUGUAGAAGUACCAGAUGUUGUUAGGAAGUUCCUUGUUCGACUCAAGGUCAGGCCA